rnacentral:rRNA from 1 species
CUGCUGCCUUCCGUAGGAGUUUGGACCGUGUCUCAGUUCCAAUGUGGGGGACCUUCCUCUCAGAACCCCUACUGAUCGUCGCCCCGGUGGGCCGUUACCCCGCCGGCAAGCUAAUCAGACGCAUCCCCAUCCUUUACCGGCCGAAGCCUUUGGUCAUGAAAAUAUGCAUCAACAUGACAACAUACGGCAUUAAUCCGCCUUUCGGCGGGCUGUCCCAUAGUAAAGGGCAGGUUGGAUACGCGUUACUCACCCGUGCGCCGGUUGCCA